GAGAAAGACUUAGACCAGCCUGCAGACAUGCUCUGGGCUUUGGAGAAGCCAGGGCAGAAGAAAUGGAAAGCACACAGCAGUCCUGGUGUGGCAGCUGACAUAUUCUACCUAUUCCAACAUUUCCUCUCCUUUUGUGGAAUUUCUUUUCUAAAGAGGAUGCAAAGACUUCCAAACUGAUGUCAGAGUAAAUGACAGCUUUGGAAAAUGGCAACCAUCGGGAUUUUCCUCAUAAAACCCACGUCUUUCCCCGGACGUGAGCGCGCAGGGCCUUGGUACGGGACAAAAGCAAAAGAGGGAAAAGUGCCAUCCUCAGCGGAAGACGGAGCUUUCUGUGGAGUGUCUCCUCUGGUUCAGAUUUUGUUGUGAGUUUUGGACAAAGCAUGUGUUUAAGAAACUGGUGGUUUGGCUGCCUGGUUGUGUAA